rnacentral:ncRNA from 1 species
AACACGGCAAUGAUGGACCCCAGUAGGAUACUGUGCCAUCUUCUGCAGAGAGCUGUCGGUUGGUGCAAGACAGCGGAGAUACAGCGUCUGAAUUACCGUCCUGAGCCACGCCCUGAAGCUCCUCGGAGUGGUAGGCGGCGUCGGGUGCGCCCGUUACAGCGCUGCGGAUAUGUCAGUAUCCUAUGAGGCCGCGCAAGCGGUAAACUGAGGUGGUACCACGGGUCAAACUCGUCCUCUGU